CGGGGACCCACCAUAUGCACAGGAGGCCACCUAGGGAACACGGAGGGAGGGACUCUGGCCCCCAGAACGCAGGCCCCAGCCCGGAAGGCGACCCCUAGCGGCAGCCUAGGGAAGCCCCUAGUGGGAAUGAGGCCCCGCGGGGUGUCUGGACUUCCGCAUCCGGGUCUCAAGAGACUGGCGGGGCGGGGCGUGGCGAGGGGGCCUCGGCGUCGGCGUGGGCGUCGGCGUGGGCGUCGGCGUGGGCGUCGGCCUGGGCGUCGGCGUGGGCGUCGGCGUCUUCCGGCCGCGCCUCGAAUCCCGUCAGGCGCGGGAAGGGCGCAGAGCCUCGUGGGCUUCGAGGGGCUCUGCGAGCUCUGCAGUUGAGGCCUUGGUCUGAGGCAGGAGUCCUGAGGUCACAGAGCAGAGGAGGCGAGGCCGCGUGCCAGUCGGUUGUCCAGGCGAGGUGCGUGCUCCGCGCGUGGGGCCGGGGGCUCGCCCAUCCCACCCCAGAGGGGACCCCUCGGUCCCCAACCCCCACGCGGCCCCGCUCUCAGGCCUGGGAGCUCGGGGUCUGGGUGGGCUGGGCCUCCCCCUGAGGAGCCACCCCUCUUCUGUCUUCAGGGUCUGGCGACCAUCAUGCCCCUGCGUCAGAGGAGUGAGCUC
rnacentral:lncRNA from 1 species